rnacentral:rRNA from 1 species
CGCGUAGGCGGUUUGAUAAGUCAGAUGUGAAAGCCCACGGCUUGACCGUGGAAGUGCAUUUGAUACUGUUAGACUUGAGUACCAGAGGGGAAAGUGGAAUUCCCGGUGUAGAGGUGAAAUUCGUAGAUAUCGGGAGGAAUACCGGUGGCGAAGGCGACUUUCUGGCUGGAUACUGACGCUGAGGCGCGAAAGCGUGGGGAGCAAACA